rnacentral:sRNA from 1 species
UUUGCGUUAGGGAUUGAAGCGGCAUCCUUUUAAAAACAUAUCGAUACAGCUCAUCAUGAUUACCAUGAUUAGAAUGGUUGCAAAAAACUCUGUUCUCGCACUGACGGUUUUUAAAAGAUAUAGCGGAAAGCCCGACCCUUG